UUUAAAGAGAGUUUGAUCCUGGCUCAGGACGAACGCUGGCGGCGUGCCUAAUACAUGCAAGUCGAACGAACGGAGGAAGAGCUUGCUCUUCCAAAGUUAGUGGCGGACGGGUGAGUAACACGUGGGCAACCUGCCUGUAAGUUGGGGAUAACUCCGGGAAACCGGGGCUAAUACCGAAUAAUAAG
rnacentral:rRNA from 2 species